rnacentral:rRNA from 1 species
AUUGAACGCUGGCGGCAUGCCUUACACAUGCAAGUCGAACGGUAACAGGUCUUCGGAUGCUGACGAGUGGCGAACGGGUGAGUAAUACAUCGGAACGUGCCCGAUCGUGGGGGAUAACGCAGCGAAAGCUGUGCUAAUACCGCAUACGAUCUACGGAUGAAAGCGGGGGAUCGCAAGACCUCGCGCGGACGGAGCGGCCGAUGGCAGAUUAGGUAGUUGGUGGGAUAAAAGCUUACCAAGCCGACGAUCUGUAGCUGGUCUGAGAGGACGACCAGCCACACUGGGACUGAGACACGGCCCAGACUCCUACGGGAGGCAGCAGUGGGGAAUUUUGGACAAUGGGCGCAAGCCUGAUCCAGCCAUGCCGCGUGCAGGAUGAAGGCCUUCGGGUUGUAAACUGCCUUUGUACGGAACGAAAAAGCUCUCUCUAAUACAGGGGGUGAAUGACGGUACCGUAAGAAUAAGCACCGGCUAACUACGUG